rnacentral:rRNA from 1 species
GACGUAGGAUGCAAGCGUUGUCCGGAUUUAUUGGGCGUAAAGAGUUCGUAGGUGGUUUGUUAAGUCUGAUGUUAAAGACUGGGGCUCAACCUCGGAAAUGCAUUGGAUACUGGCAGACUUGAGUGUGGUAGAGGCAAUCGGAAUUCCAGGUGUAGCGGUGAAAUGCGUAGAUAUCUGGAAGAACACCGGUGGCGCAAGCGGAUUGCUGGGCCAUAACUGACACUGAGGAGCGAAAGCAUGGGGAGCGAACAGG